rnacentral:rRNA from 1 species
AUUGAACGCUGGCGGCAGGCCUAACACAUGCAAGUCGAGCGGUUGACGGGAGCUUGCUCCCUGAUUCAGCGGCGGACGGGUGAGUAAUGCCUAGGAAUCUGCCUAUUAGUGGGGGACAACGUUUCGAAAGGGACGCUAAUACCGCAUACGUCCUACGGGAGAAAGCAGGGGACCUUCGGGCCUUGCGCUAAUAGAUGAGCCUAGGUCGGAUUAGCUUGUUGGUGAGGUAAUGGCUCACCAAGGCGACGAUCCGUAACUGGUCUGAGAGGAGGAUCAGUCAAACUGGAACUGAGACACGGUCCAGACUCGUACGGGAGGCAGCAGUGGGGAAUAUUGGACAAUGGGCGAAAGCCUGAUCCAGCCAUGCCGCGUGUGUGAAGAAGGUCUUCGGAUUGUAAAGCACUUUAAGUUGGGAGGAAGGGCUGUAGAUUAAUACUCUGCAAUUUUGACGUUACCGACAGAAUAAGCACCGGCUAACUCUGUGCCGGCAGCCGCGGUAACAC